UGGGCUUGACAUGUCCGGAAUCCUGCAGAGACCCGGGAGUGCCCUUGGGGGAAUCGGAACAC
rnacentral:rRNA from 1 species